CACCUGUUUAUCAAAAACAUAGCCUUUUGAUUAUAAUUUAAGGUUAUUUCUGCCCCAUGAAAAUUUUAAAUGGCCGCAGUAUGUUGACUGUGCUAAGGUAGCAUAAUCAAUUGUUUCUUAAUUAGAAACUUGGAUGAAAGAAAAAAUGAGAUUUAAGCUGUCUCAAUUUAAGAGUUAUAAAUUAUUUUUUAAGUAAAAAAACUUAAAUGAGAUUAUGGGACGAGAAGACCCUAUAGAAUUUUAUAUAAUUUUUAUUAUGAUUUUUUAUUUAAUUAAUAGUGAAGAUUAUAUUUAGUUGGGAGGACUGUUAAAUUAUUAUAACUUUAAUUAAAAAAAGUCAUUUAUUAAUGAGUGAAGGAAUGAUUAUAAUUUAUAAUUAAGGAAGAAUUAAUUACCUUAGGGAUAACAGCGUAAUAUUUUUAGAGAGAUCAUAUUGAUAAAAAUGAUUGCGACCUCGAUGUUGAAUUAAGAUAAAAAUUAGGUGCAGGAGCUUAAUAUUUAGGUCUGUUCGACCUUUAAAAUCUUACAUGAUUUGAGUUCAAAUCGACG
rnacentral:rRNA from 1 species